CCCUUGGCCUCGUCACGACGCAUGCUCGACUGCGAAUGCUGGCUGGGGAUGAGCCCGGGAAGAAGUGAGGUGGUGGGUUUUGGCCUGUGCUGGCGUGCGAGAGCUGCGUGGAGACACGAGGAUGCUUCCUGCAAGACACGCGUGAGCCGACUAAGUCGUGGAGCACAGGAGGAGCUCGAUGCCGCAGGUUAUGGACAACUGCAGCGUCUUCGCGUGCCGGAGGGCCACCCGUGCCCCCACGUGCAUAGGAAGCACACCUUCCCUCCUCUUGGCUGUUGCAGAAUGAGGCUGGGUCCGUCUCCUGUACCCUUGGUUCACCUUUCACGGGACUGUCACCUCCUUGUAUUAAAUCUUUCAAAGCCUUAACUUUUGCCCUUUAAUAACCUCUUGCUCUUUAACUUGUUUCUACUGUGCGUUUUCCUAAUAUCCUACAUUUCUUCUUUUCAAUGUGUAGGAAAGUAUUUCCCUAUACAUGUAGGAUCCAUAAGUUCUCUUCCCUCCAGAAAACUAGAAUAGUUAAGUAACAGCAAAAACUUAUCCAGGGGCCCAGGUCCUUUCACUGCCCUAACUAGUGGAGACCAGAUAAUUCUAUACAAGAAGGUAUAGAAGGAAACAGGUCAGUGCGCACGCUCAGAUCUGUAUAAAGUACGUUUUAAAUAUGUGGGUGUGUGUGUGUGUGUUGGUUUCUCUAAGUGACCCUAAGGUCACUUAUUCUGCCCCUAGUUUUCUCCCUUUCCACACCACUGACGCCUGUGUCUCUGCUUCCUUGCCUUGGAUUUCCCUUCAUCUUUUGCCCCAUGUUUCUUUCCCAUCACCUCUGAGAUGCGCUUCAUAAGGCAUACAGGUGACUCCUGUCAUUAGCACACUAUGUCAGAUGGACGUGCUUAGGAGUUUACACGAUAUCAGAAUGUAUUGAAUGACAAUAAAUUUCACUAAGUACAGUGGCUUCGCUGGCACCA
rnacentral:lncRNA from 1 species